CCGCCGCCCGUGGACUUCGCUGGCGCUGCCUUCCCACCGGACUGCCCCGUCACCACCUCACCCUCGUCGGCCGACGCUUCCUGACGCCGCGCCCGUCGCUCGUCACCGCGCCGUCGUCGUCCCGUCGUCGACCAUCGCCACCCCGAGCCCCCCUCGAGCUCGCUGCCACCUCCCUACGACUCCGAUGUGAGCCGCGUCCGCCCCCCUUUUUCCCCCAUCGUUUCCAUCGUCGAUUUGCGCCGUCCAGCUCGCGCCCGAAGCUCGCGACGACCUCGUGCUCACCGUGCCCGCGUCCUGACCGCGCACCACCGCGCGCCACUGCAGCCGCGCCUGCAUCGGCUGCCGCUCGCCGAGUCCGCCUCCGCCCCAGUCCUCGCGGCUCCGGCCGGCCGCGCCAUGGCCGCCGGCGCACGCCCUCCUGGGCGUCCGAGUGCUCCCCGCCCCUGGUGGCCUCGAGCACGCACGCCCACACCCGAGCGCCCCGCUCCUGCAGCCCCGAUAGCCCGCUCCAGUGGCCAGAUGGGCCACUGCUAGCGGGGCCCCACGCCCCUGUUUAAAAAAAAGAAUUAAAAUAAAUAAAAAUAAAAUUAAUUAAUUAAUUAGUUAAUUAACCCUGUUUAGAUUAAUCUAAUUUAAUUAAUUAGUUUAAUUAAUUAGUUAACCCUAAUUACCCUAAUCAGUUUAUGACAUGUGGGACCCACGUGUCAGAUGACUGCUGACGUCAGCAUGAUGUCAUGCUGAUGUCAUCGCAACACUGUUUUGGAUAAUGUUGAAUUAAAUAAUUAAUUAAAAUUCAUAAAAUGAUUAAAUCUUUAGAAAAUCAUAUAAAAUAAUCCGUAACUCGGAUGAAAAUACUUUCUACAUGAAAGUUGCUCAGAACGACGAGACGAAUCCGAAUACGCAGUCCGUUCGUCCGCCACGCGUCCCUAGCAUAGUGAACCUGCAACAUUUCACCUCCGGUUCAUCUGUCCGAAAACGUGAAACACCGGGGAUACUUUCCCGGAUGUUUCCCCCCUUCACCGGUAUCACCUCAUACCGCGUUAGAACACGUCUAGCUCUGCCUGUUGUCUUGUUAUGCACUUGCUUGCUAUGUAUUUACUGUUUCUCCCCCCUCUUCUCUUCGGUAGACCCCGUGACGAUGCUGAUGCCCCUGUGGUCGACUACGUCACCGACGACCCCUCCUUCUUGUCUGAGCAACCAGGCAAGCCCCCCCUUGAUCACCAGAUAUCGCCUAUUCUUCUCUAUACUGCUUGCAUUAGAGUAGUGUAGCAUGCUACUGCUUUCGUUAAUCCUAUCCUGAUGCAUAGCCUGUCAUUGUUGCUACAGUUGUUACCCUUACCUGCUAUCCUACUGCUUAGUAUAGGAUGCUAGUGUUCCAUCAGUGGCCCUACACUCUUGUCCGUCCGCCAUGCUAUACUACUGGGCCGUGAUCACUUCGGGAGGUGAUCAUGGGUAUAUACUAUAUACAUUAUAUACAUGACACAUGUGGUGACUAAAGUCGGGUCGGCUCAUUGAGUACCCGUAAGUGAUUCUGAUGAGGGGGCUGAAAGGACAGGUGGCUCCACCCCGGUAGAGGUGGGCCUGGGUUCCUGACGGCCCCUGACUGUUACUUUGUGGCGGAGCGACAGGGCAGGUUGAGACCACCUAGGAGAGAGGUGGGCUUGGCCCUGGUCGGCGUUCGCGGAUACUUAACACGCUUAACGAGAUCUUGGUAUUUGAUCUGAGUCUGGCCAUUUGGUCUAUACGCACUAACCAUCUACGCGGGAGUAGUUAUGGGUAUCCCGACGUCGUGGUAUCAGCCGAAGCUCUUUUGACGUCAGCGACUGAGUGGCGCGCGCCGCAUUGGACCGUAAGCUCGCGCUUGUAUUAAGGGGGCUAGGUCUGCUUCCGGCCGCGUACGCAACGUGCAGGUGUGCAUAGGGCGAUGGGCCCAGACCCCUGCGCGCAUAGGUUUAGACCGGCGUGCUGACCUCUCUGUUGAUCCUAGGUGGGGCUGCGACGUGUUGAUCUUACGAGGCCGGGCAUGACCCAGAAAAGUGUGUCCGGCCAAAUGGGAUCGAGCGUGUUGGGUUAUGUGGUGCACCCCUGCAGGGAAGUUUAUCUAUUCGAAUAGCCGUGUCCCUCGGUAAAAGGACGACCCGGAGUUGUACCUUGACCUUAUGACAACUAGAACCGGAUACUGAAUAAAAUACACCCUUCCAAGUGCCAGAUACAACCCGGUGAUCGCUCUCUAACAGGGCGACGAGGAGGGGAUCGCCGGGUAGGAUUAUGCUAUGCGAUGCUACUUGGAGGACUUCAAUCUACUCUCUUCUACAUGCUGCAAGAUGGAGAUGGCCAGAAGCGUAGUCUUCGACAGGACUAGCUAUCCCCCUUUUAUUCUGGCAUUCUGCAGUUCAGUCCACUGAUAUGCCCCUUUACACAUAUACCCUUGCAUAUGUAGUGUAGCUCCUUGCUUGCGAGUACUUUGGAUGAGUACUCACGGUUGCUUUUCUCCUUCUUUUCCCCUUUCUAUACCGGAUUGUCGCAACCAGAUGCUGGAGUCCAGGAGCUAGAGAUCCCGAGGAUGAUUCUACGUGGAGUUCGGCUUCGAGGAGUAGUUAGGAGGUCCCAGGCAGGAGGCCUUGCCUUUUCGAUCGUUGCUAUUUUUGUG
rnacentral:lncRNA from 1 species